GAUGAACGCUGGCGGCGUGCCUAAUACAUGCAAGUCGAGCGAACAGACGAGGAGCUUGCUCCUCUGACAUUAGCGGCGGACGGGUGAGUAACACGUGGAUAACCUACCUAUAAGACUGGGAUAACUUCGGGAAACCGGAGCUAAUACCGGAUAAUAUAUUGAACCGCAUGGUUCAAUAGUGAAAGACGGUUUUGCUGUCACUUAUAGAUGGAUCCGCGCCGCAUUAGCUAGUUGGUAAGGUAACGGCUUACCAAGGCAACGAUGCGUAGCCGACCUGAGAGGGUGAUCGGCCACACUGGAACUGAGACACGGUCCAGACUCCUACGGGAGGCAGCAGUAGGGAAUCUUCCGCAAUGGGCGAAAGCCUGACGGAGCAACGCCGCGUGAGUGAUGAAGGUCUUCGGAUCGUAAAACUCUGUUAUUAGGGAAGAACAAAUGUGUAAGUAACUAUGCACGUCUUGACGGUACCUAAUCAGAAAGCCACGGCUAACUACGUG
rnacentral:rRNA from 1 species